UACGGAGGGGGCUAGCGUUGUUCGGAAUUACUGGGCGUAAAGCGCGCGUAGGCGGACCUGCAAGUCGGGGUGAAAGCCCGAGGCUCAACCUCGGAACUGCCUUCGAUACUGCGGGUCUCGAGUCCGGGAGAGGUGAGUGGAAUUCCUAGUGUAGAGGUGAAAUUCGUAGAUAUUAGGAAGAACACCGAGUGGCGAAGGGCGGCUCACUGGCC
rnacentral:rRNA from 1 species